UAGGGGUCACGGGAAUUCCCAGUGUAGCGGUGAAAUGCGUAGAUAUUGGGAAGAACACCAGCGGCGAAAGCGCGUGACUGGGCUGAACUGACACUCAUGGACGAAAGCUAGGGGAGCGAAAGGGAUUAGAUACCCCUGUAGUCCUAGCCGUAAACGAUGACAACUAGGUGUUGCCCGUAUCGACCCGGGCAGUGCCGUAGCCAACGCGUUAAGUUGUCCGCCUGGGGAGUACGCACGCAAGUGUGAAACUCAAAGGAAUUGACGGGGGCCCGCACAAGCGGUGGAGUAUGUGGUUUAAUUCGAUGCAACGCGAAGAACCUUACCAAGGCUUGACAUGUGCAGAAUCCUCUUGAAAGGGAGGAGUGCCUUCGGGAGCUGCAACACAGGUGGUGCAUGGCUGUCGUCAGCUCGUGUCGUGAGAUGUUGGGUUAAGUCCCGCAACGAGCGCAACCCUCGUUUCUAGUUGCCAUCAUUGAGUUGGGCACUUUAGAGAGACUGCCGGUGACAAACCGGAGGAAGGUGGGGAUGACGUCAAGUCAGCAUGCCCCUUACGCCUUGGGCUACACACGUACUACAAUGCUACGGACAAAGAGCCGCAAGUUCGCGAGGACAAGCAAAUCUCAUAAACCGUGGCUCAGUUCAGAUUGCAGGCUGCAACUCGCCUGCAUGAAGGCGGAAUCGCUAGUAAUCGCAGGUCAGCAUACUGCGGUGAAUACGUUCCCGGGCCUUGUACACACCGCCCGUCACACCAUGGGAGUUGGCCACGCCCGAAGUCGUUACUCCAACCGUUCGCGGAGGAGGAUGCCGAAGGCAGGGCUGAUGACUGGGGUGAAGUCGUAACAAGGUAACC
rnacentral:rRNA from 1 species